CCAAUCGAACCCGGAGAUAGCUGGUUCUCCUCGAAAUAGCUUUAGGGCUAGCCUCAUACAAGUCUGCCGGAGGUAGAGCACUGAAUUUCCGCGGGGGCGUCAAAGCCUACCAAAGAAUAUCAAACUCCGAAUGCCGGACAGAUGGUGUAUGGGAGUCAGACUGUACGAGAUAAGUUGGACAGUCAAAAGGGAAAGAGCCCAGACCGCCGGCUAAGGUCCCAAAGUGGGUGUUAAGUGGAAAAGGAUGUGGGAUCUCUAAGACAACCAGGAUGUUGGCUCAGAAGCAGCCAUUCAUUAAAAGAGUGCGUAACAGCUCACUGGUCGAGAGGUCCUGCGCCGAAAAUGUCCGGGGCUGAAACACCACACCGAAGCCGCGGAACCCGUAAGGGUUGGUAGAGGAGCAUUCUUAGGGGAGAGAAGCAUUACCGGAAGGGGAUGUGGACCGCUAAGAAGAGAGAAUGCCGGAAUGAGUAGCGAGAGCAAGGUGAGAAUCCUUGCGGCCGAAUAUCCAAGGUUUCCAGAGUAAAGCUGAUCUGCUCUGGGUAAGUCGGGGCCUAAGGCGAGGACGAGAGUCGUAGCCGAUGGACAACAGGUGGAGAUUCCUGUACUGCGGUAUGACAGAACUGUGGGGACACGUAAGGAAAGCGGAAGCCGGGAAUGGAAAGCCCGGUGCAAGCGGGGUACCAGUCACUCUGGCAAAUCCGGGUGGCAAUGGGAAGCCGUGAUGCGGAGCGAAAUAAAGUAGCGAAGUCCGUGAGCCAUGCGUCAAGAAAAGCCGCUAUUGUUUAUACCGUACCCGUACCGUAAACCGACACAGGUGGAUGAGGAGAGAAUCCUAAGGCCGGCGGAAGAAGCAUUGUCAAGGAACUCGGCAAAAUGACCCCGUAACUUCGGGAGAAGGGGUGCCUGCGAGAGCAGGCCGCAGAGAAUAGGCUCAAGCAACUGUUUAGCAAAAACACAGGUCUAUGCGAAACCGAAAGGUGAGGUAUAUGGGCUGACGCCUGCCCGGUGCUGGAAGGUUAAGAGGAGAGGUUAGCGCAAGCGAAGCUUUGAAUUUAAGCCCCAGUAAACGGCGGCCGUAACUAUAACGGUCCUAAGGUAGCGAAAUUCCUUGUCGGGUAAGUUCCGACCCGCACGAAAGGCGUAAUGAUUUGAGCGCUGUCUCGACAAUGCAUCCGGUGAAAUUGAAGUACCAGUGAAGAUGCUGGUUACCUGCGCCAGGACGGAAAGACCCCAUGGAGCUUUACUCCAGUCUGGUACUGGGACUCGGUAUUGCAUGUACAGGAUAGGUGGGAGGCUAGGAGAUGGUAACGCCAGUUGCCAUGGAGCCGCUGUUGGGAUACCACCCUUGCAGUAUUGGGUUUCUAACCAGCCGCCGUGACCCGGCGGUGGGACAAUGCCAGACGGGGAGUUUGACUGGGGCGGUCGCCUCCGAAAGGGUAUCGGAGGCGCCCAAAGGUUCCCUCAGAAUGGACGGAAACCAUUCGAAGAGUGCAAAGGCAGAAGGGAGCUUGACUGCGACACCGACGG
rnacentral:rRNA from 1 species